rnacentral:rRNA from 1 species
AUGUCGAGCUCCACUUCAGUCUCCCGCCCCUCGUGGACCCAGUAUGGUCCACUUCCCAUGGAGCGAUGUCCUGACUGCCCACGCAACGUGCCACUGAUACAGUUGACUUCGAAGGAGGUCAAGAAUGGCAACUAUGGGCGCGAGUUCGUGAAAUGCGGGAGAAAGCCAGAGGGGCAGAUCGUGAAGAAAUGCACACAUUUUGAAUGGCUGGAUGACUACGGUAAGCGGAUUCAAUUCAAUGGGGCCCAACCCGGGAGCUCAAUCUGCCGUCAGCAACAACGAAUUUGGUCUCUGAAAGUGCUGCUCUGA